GAAAAAAAAAACCAUUUAAAUAGAUUGGUAGGGGUCGUUGAUCCGAUUUCAGACAGUAUUACGCAUUACCCGCUCUCUCUAGAAAACAAAACAAACAGAGUGCCAUUAUAUGGAUAUAACAGUACCUGGAAAGAAUGUUUCUGAGGAAGUGACUCGUGAGUCGCUUAUCGCCAUCUCUUACUCGGAACCAGAAUCAGCUCUCUCUUCAAAGCGAUCAUCUGGAAAGCUCAAUAGCCAAAACCUCAAUCUGGUGGAAGGGAAAGAAUUUGAUGCAGAUGAGAAAUAUAGAUCUGAGCUGAUAUCAAUUUCCUUCCUCGAGUCGCCACCCGAAAUUGGAAGUGUACCCGUCGGCAAACUCAAAGGUUAGCACCUGGACGUUCGUUAUCGUAAUUGUAUACACUCUUAUGUAGAAAUGAUGCUAAUCUAAGUGUGUUGUUGCAACCAUGGAGCAAUUGUGUCCAUGUUCUUUGGUUCUGUAACUUAGACCCUCCCACUGGUUGUGUGUACUAUCUUUAUCUUUUGAAAACUUAUUGCCGUGUGAGCCCCAAUGAAUGAACUUAUGAACCCUCGCUAC